rnacentral:rRNA from 1 species
GCUUACGGCCAUACCAGCCUGGCUAUGCCUGAUCUCAUUUGAUCUCGGAAGCUAAGCAGGUUUGGGCCUGGUUAGUACUUGGAUGCGAGACUGCCUGGGAAUACCAGGUGCUGUAAGCU